CAAAUUAAAGCUUUAAUAAGUAUUUUAUUUACAUUAAAAAGAUUUUCUAUAGGAAUGAUUUGA
rnacentral:tRNA from 1 species